rnacentral:tRNA from 1 species
GGAGAGGUUGCGUAGUCCGGCCGAACGCGCGCGCCUGGAGAGCGCGUGAGCAGAAAUGCUCCGCGGGUUCAAAUCCCGCCCUCUCCGCCA